GACGAACGCUGGCGGCGUGCUUAACACAUGCAAGUCGAGCGGACCUUCGGGUCAGCGGCGAACGGGUGAGUAACACGUGGGCAACCUGCCCCAGACUCUGGAAUAACUCCGGGAAACCGGGGCUAAUGCCGGAUAUUCACAUGCUCGGGCAUCUGGGUGUGUGUAAAGAUUUAUCGGUCUGGGAUGGGCCCGCGGCCUAUCAGCUUGUUGGUGGGGUGAAGGCCUACCAAGGCGACGACGGGUAGCCGGCCUGAGAGGGCGACCGGCCACACUGGGACUGAGACACGGCCCAGACUCCUACGGGAGGCAGCAGUGGGGAAUAUUGCGCAAUGGGCGAAAGCCUGACGCAGCGACGCCGCGUGAGGGAUGACGGCCUUCGGGUUGUAAACCUCUUUCAGCAGGGACGAAGCGCAAGUGACGGUACCUGCAGAAGAAGCACCGGCCAACUACGUGCCAGCCGCCGCCGUAACAC
rnacentral:rRNA from 1 species